rnacentral:lncRNA from 1 species
CCAAGGAUCUGGAGAGGCACUGGGAGCUGCCAAUGUCCAGAGACUAUAUGAUACCAAGGCCCCUCUCUGUCCUUCUCAACCUGCUGGUUGAUGGUGAUGAGUUUUCUGAUCUGUAUCCAGGCAGCCUGCUACCACCGCAGAUCCAUCUCUUAUCCCAGCAUAGGAAUUCAAUAAAUUUUAGUUUCUUCGUUCCCACUCUGUGACCAGGCCCUGAGGAAAUCAAAACCAGCUUAUCAUGUGAACAAGGAUCUCUUGGAGUCCUGCAGAAUUAUAAACAACCCAUCCAGGUUCUAGGGGUCACAAUGGGUAAAAACCCUGUAGCCAGAGAUACAGAGAUGGCCCUAUUGUGAGCAGAGCCACCAUCAAGAAAGAUCUCCAUUUCUUCAGGGAGAACCUUGAUGUCCCAGCCAUGGUACACACUUUUCUGUGGACUUUCCUGUGCUUCAAAUACAUCUAUAAUGAGGGACACCAGAUGUGAGGAUGGAACAGACCUCUAAAGGACAAAAUGUUACAUCUGGGAGCAGGGCCACUGAAACCUGUUUCCAUAAAAAAAAAAAAAAAAAAAAAAAAAAAAAAAGCUUAUGUUUGGAUUAGACCAAAUGUGGAUCAAUUAAACUACAAAUUAAAGAGCUUUUGAAUAUCCAUGAAUUACAUUCUUGAUACAGAGUCUUCUUAUCAUGACCACAGGAUGCCUUUUCUGACCCAAAGUGGGGACAACCAUGCAUGAGAUCACUCCAGAAUUAUCUUGGGAACGGAGUUCCUGCCAUCUCCUAAAGCUCCCCAGCCUGCUUCUCACCCAGUCAGUCUGAGGAUUUGAAUGACAUUGAAGCCUUCAGCACUCCCUACCUGCAAUGGCUUGUCUGCAAACAUUUGCCAACUGGCUGAAUUUUUCCUUAGCCUCCAGUGCUGUGUGGACUCCUCAAUUGAUAAUUCAGUGAGAUGGCAGAUUUCCUCAGAAGCAGAAGAAACCAAGAGUUGUACCACCAUAUCAAAGAUCUUCAACCAACAGCAGGGCCAAAGGCCAAGCUUGGAUUGAAAUGGCAAAACUGACUGCCUAAGUCUUUAUAUCAUAAAGGGCAGUGGUUGGCUUCGAGGUAAAAGACAAGAAAUGGUGGCUUCAUAUAUGUGCAUAAAUAUAUGUGAAUUGAAGACUCUAUCCCAAUUUAUUUACCUUUCCAAUUAAUAUCUAUUAAAUGUUUCAUAUAUGCCAGGUGUUGG